GCAUUAAUGGGGUAGUGGUAACCUGGGUCGUUGCCAUACUGCUUGCGAUCUAGAUCUAGACAAUUAGCUCGACCCGCCGGGGGUUCGAUUCCCUCUUAAUGCA